rfam:Pan troglodytes isolate Yerkes chimp pedigree #C0471 (Clint) chromosome 1, whole genome shotgun sequence.
GCCGGGCAUGGUGGCGCAGGCCUGUAGUCCCAGCUACUUAGGGGGCAGAAGCAGGAGGAUUGCUUGUUCCUGGGAGGUCGAGGCUGCAGUGACCUGUUCGUGCCACUGCACUCCAGCCUGGGUGACAAAGCAAGACCCUGUCUCAA